GACGAACGCUGGCGGCGUGCCUAAUACAUGCAAGUAGAACGCUGAAGGAGGAGCUUGCUUCUCUGGAUGAGUUGCGAACGGGUGAGUAACGCGUAGGUAACCUGCCUGGUAGCGGGGGAUAACUCUUGGAAACGAUAGCUAAUACCGCAUAAUAGUAGAUGUUGCAUGACAUUUGCUUAAAAGGUGCAAUUGCAUCACUACCAGAUGGACCUGCGUUGUAUUAGCUAGUUGGUGGGGUAACGGCUCACCAAGGCGACGAUACAUAGCCGACCUGAGAGGGGGGUCGGCCCCACUGGGACUGGGACACGGCCCCGACUCCUACGGGAGGCAGCAGUAGGGAAUCUUCGGCAAUGGACGGAAGUCUGACCGGGCAACGCCGCGUGAGUGAAGAAGGUUUUCGGAUCGUAAAGCUCUGUUGUAAGAGAGGAACGAGUGUGAGAGUGGAAAGUUCACACUGUGACGGUAUCUUACCAGAAAGGGACGGCUAACUACGUG
rnacentral:rRNA from 1 species